GCUCUAAUUGAAACAUUCACGAUUGUAAUCGUAUUGUAAUGUAUGAAGAUGUUUGGUGGUACAAAUAUACCACUACUUUGUCUUUAAGGACUAUGGGUUUUCGGACCCUAAAAAAAGUGUCCCCUUCAUUAUUAAAAUGGUUUUAUUAAACAACUCAAGAAAUUUCAUGAUCCAUUGCCCGAUGUAAGCACGCCAUAAAAAACAUGAGUAUCAUAAACAGGAAACGUUACGUGGAAUUGUUCAAAUAUAAAAUAAAUUCAUGUAGAUUAAAAUGAAAAUAUGUUAAAACCAAUUUAAAUAUAUAAUGGUUAAUUUCUUGGUACCAAGAGGUUUUUCAAGUUCAAAAGGAGGCCAGAAAAGCCACAACCCAACUGUUUAGUUUUUCGCUAGUGGGUUGCCACUUUUUCAAAGCUCUUUAUUUCA
rnacentral:misc_RNA from 1 species